CAGUCGCCGCGGUAAUACGGAGGGUGCAAGCGUUAAUCGGAAUUACUGGGCGUAAAGCGCACGCAGGCGGUCUGACAAGUCAGAUGUGAAAUCCCCGGGCUUAACCUGGGAACUGCAUUUGAAACUGUCAGGCUGGAGUCUUGUAGAGGGGGGUGGAAUUCCAGGUGUAGCGGUGAAAUGCGUAGAGAUCUGGAGGAAUACCGGUGGCGAAGGCGGCCCCCUGGACGAAGACUGACGCUCAGGUGCGAAAGCGUGGGGAGCAAACAGGAUUAGAGACCCCUGUAGUCCCUGUCUCUUAUAC
rnacentral:rRNA from 1 species